rnacentral:lncRNA from 1 species
CCCCCCCCCCACAAGUGGGAGGCAGGAGCUCGGACUCCUAACUUGUAAAGAAGAGACCGAUGUAAUGGACCUGCAAGAGCUUUCAUGAACAAAUCAGCGAGUUGAGACGAAGAUGGAACAAAGGACAGAGAAAUUAAGCCUUCAAGCAGUUUUUCACGAACAAAGUGACAAUCAAGCUCGAUGUGCUUGGUUCGUUCAUGAAAAAUGCAUUCUUUGCAAUAUGAAUCGCCGAUUUAUUGUCGCAAUGGAGAGGAACUAGUAAAAUAGGAGAAGCACCAAUAUCAUAAAGAAGACACACUAGCCAUGUAAUUUCCGCCACCAGUCGUCUCAUAGAACGGUAUUCCGCUUCCACAGAAGAGAGGGCAAUAGCUGGUUGUUUUUCGACUUCCAAAAAAUAGGACCGCCACGCAAACAAUAAAAAAUCCGCUCACCAAUCUGUGAGUAUCAGUGCAAGAUGCCUAAUCGGAGCACAAAAGGCGAAGAUAUGUAAAGAAGACCCCGGAGAUCUGAACAAACCAAGGUCAGGAUCUCUACUGAUGUGUUUGAGAGUACAUAAAGCUACUUGAAAAAUGGCCAUUGUGUGGAGAUUAUAUGUAUUGACUCAAAGUCUGAACGGCAUAAGAAAGAUCGGGUCUCGUAUUGGUAAUAAAAUUGAGCUUUCCAAGUAAUCGUCGGUAAACCAUGGGAUCUGGCAAAGGUACACCCUUUGUGGAUUUCAGUUUAGAAGUAGGUUUAAGAGGCGUGGAGACUGACCGACAACCUAUGCAGUUGAAUUCUUCAAGCCACUCUAGGGCAAAUUUGCAUUGGGUUACAACCAGUGCUGCUCAUUCCCGUAUUAAUUCCAUACCCAAAAAAUAGUGAGCCUUUCUUAAAUCCUUAAUUUUGAACUCGGCAUAAAAAAACUGCUUGAUUUCACUAACUUCUUGUGUAUUGUUACCAUUAAUGAGAAUGUCAUCAAUGUACACUGCAAGGAGCGUAAUCAAAUCCCUAGUCUUUUUGAAGAACAAAGAGUAAUCAUUUAGUGAGGAAGUGAAUCCUCUGGUUGCGAGCGCGGAGGACAAAUGAGCAUACCAUUUACAUGAGGCUUGCUUUAAGCCAUAUAAGGAUUUCUAGAGUCGAGACACAUGAGAGGGAGAAAGAGGGACUAAACCUAGAGGAAACCUCGUAUAGACUUCUUCUUGCAAGUUACCAUAGAAGAAUGCGUUGUUAAUAUCAAGUUGGUAAAUCUUCUAAUCUUUCUUAACUUCAAAUACUAAGAUACAUUGUAUAGUUGUCAUUUUUACAACAGGAGAAAAAAUCUCUGUAUAGUCAAUACCCACACGUAGUGUAUCCCCUCUGGUUACCAACCGUGCUUUCAGUUUUCCAAAGAUCCGUCUGACUUCAGUUUUUCUUUGUAAAUCCACUUGCAAGCUAAAGGUUUCUUGCUGUUUGGCAAUUGAACCAUGUCCCAUGUUUCUUGGAAUUCAAUGCCUCAAACUCUUUAUCUAUGGAAACUUUCCACCCAGGAUGCAUCACAACUUAUUGGUAAGAUGUUGGAUCAGUAAUUUGACAAGUUGAAGUAAUAAGUAUCUGGUUUUGUGGUGUCAUUAAAGAAAAGGAUGAAUGAUAAAAAAGAAGACAAGGUGGAUUAGGUGACAGUAAAAGAAGCGUCACAUAUGUUAUCUGAUAUAUACUUAGGUGGAUUAUGAUCCCUUUGUGAUCUCCUCAGUUGAUGCUCAGGUUCUGAAGGCAAAACUUCUCCACUAGAAAUGGAUUUGUAGGAUUAUUCAAAAUAGGAGAAAUAGAGGGAGAAGGUGAGUGAAAAAUAGGUGACCUUACCGCUGAGAUGUAGAAUUAUUAGGAGAAACUGCAGUAGAGGGAGAAGAAGUUACAUGCUUAUUAGGGGAUGAAAAAACAUACUCAAUAGGAGACGGAAGCAUACUGGAAAGAGUUUAGACAAGGAAAAGGGAAAGAUAGUCUCAACAAACUUGACAUCUCUACGAAGGAUCACCUGACUUGUUUGUAAAUUUAGAAUCUUGUAUUUUUUUUUCAAAUGGAUACCCUAUAAAAACACCAGGAAAGGCUCUAGGACUCAACUUGUCUCUAUCUCUGGAGAGAGUAGAACUGAAGCAUAGACAACCAAAUGUCUUAAGGAAUGAGUAAUCUGGAUCUGUCCCAAAUAGAACAUGGUAGGGAGAUUUAAGUUGAAGAACUUGAGAAGGAAAUUUGUUAAUCAAAUGGGUAGUUGUAAGUAAACACUCCCCCACCCCCCAACCCCCAGUAUUUUUUAGGAACAUGUGAUUGAAACAUCAUUGCCCUACAAGUGUCUAACAAAUGUCUAUGCUUUCUUUUAACUACCCUAUUUUGUUGUGGGGUUUCUACACAACUAGUCUGAUGGAUAAUUCCUUGAGAAUUGUAGUAAUCCAUUUGAAUAUGUCAUGUCCCUCUUUCAAAUGCAUUAUCUAAUCUGAUCAUUUUUACUUAGGUGGAAAACUGUCUUUCAACAAGGGUUAGGAAAGCUUUCAAAGUAGGAAAUGCAUUAGAUUUGGUGGAUAGCAAGAAAGUCCAAGUACUUCUAGAGAAAUCAUCAACCACAGUUAGAAAGUACUUCUCCCCUUUAUAUGUUGGUGUGUUGUAUAGUCCCCAUAUGUCUAUAUGUAUCAAGUCAAAAGAAUACUUGGAUAUAAUUGUGUUUUUGGUAAAUAGUGGUUUAGACUGUCUUUCCGUAGCACACACUUGUUAAGAGAAUUUGUUGUUAUUUGUAGAAGUAACAUGUAUUGCUUUAAUAUAUUUCAUAGCAUCAUAUGGUAAGUGUCCUAAGCGAAAAUGUCAUAUUUGUUUGAAUCAGUCACAUUCAUGCCAUCAUUUGAAAUAGAAACAUUAAUAUUGAUAUUUUCAUUUAAAUUUGAUGGACAAAGAGGACUCAAUAGAACAGGACACUUUGCCCUUUCACAAACAGACUCUGAAUCAGAAGACAAUGACCCUAGCAGUCUAUGCCUACUACUAGAAGAAAAAGAAGCUUAAAUAGGUGAUUUAAUUGAGUGUAUUCCCAAUGUAGAAGUGUAAUCCUUGAGAACACAGAGACCAGUUGUGGUUUCACCAAAGAGAGGCUCUUUUCCCAUUAAAGAGGCCUGCAAAAUGCAUCCCGCCUUAGUAUACAACAAUUUAUAAUUCAUAUCAUUGACAAACUAACUUACUGACAAAAGAUUAUGCUUGAAAUCAGGCACAUGUAACACAUGGUAGAGUUUUAUCCCUGGAGGAAGAACUAUAUUGCCUACAACAUAGGCUUUUACUUAACAAGAAUUGGCCAAAUUGACUAGAAGUGGCGUGGGAAAUAACCUAAGAUCAUGCAACAAGCGUCUUUCGAAAGUCAUAUGUUGUAUAGCACCACUAUCUGGAAUCCAAGGAUAUUUGGUUAAGUUUGAAAGAAGUGAGGUAAGGGAAAGCAAAGCAUGUUGCAUACCAACUAGAUUUGUGGCUGCAAUAGGUUCAGAGGAAGCUGUAGAGGUUCCUUGCAGAGAUUGAAACAUUUGGAUCAACUAGUCACACUGCUCCUUGGUGAAUCCUUGUGCUCCAACCAAAGUGGAAACACUUUCUCCUGCCAUUCCUGAGCUUAAAUCCCUUCCAGUUAUUUCCAUGUUAGCUUGUGUAGUAGAAGGUAGUGGCUUCAUCAUCAAGAUAUUUGCUCUCACACCAGAAUAGCAUCAUUAAGUCCCAUAAGGAGUUGAAUCAAUUUUUGAUACUCAUUUAUCUUAACGUUGUGGGUCUUUUCUCCACACUUACAAUCACAAUUGCAUAUCAUA